rnacentral:rRNA from 1 species
ACUCACAGCUCAACUGUGGGCCUGCGGUCGAUACGGGCAGACUAGAGUACUUCAGGGGAGACUGGAAUUCCUGGUGUAGCGGUGAAAUGCGCAGAUAUCAGGAGGAACACCGGUGGCGAAGGCGGGUCUCUGGGAAGUAACUGACGCUGAGAAGCGAAAGCGUGGGUAGCGAACAGGAUUAGAUACCCUGGUAGUCCACGCCGUAAACGGUGGGUACUAGGUGUGGGUUUCCUUCCACGGGAUCCGUGCCGUAGCUAACGCAUUAAGUACCCCGCCUGGGGAGUACGGCCGCAAGGCUAAAACUCAAAGGAAUUGACGGGGGCCCGCACAAGCGGCGGAGCAUGUGGAUUAAUUCGAUGCAACGCGAAGAACCUUACCUGGGUUUGACAUACACCGGAAAGCCGUAGAGAUACGGCCCCCCUUGUGGUCGGU